UACAGAGGCCCCAAGUGUUACUGAGAAUCACUGGGUUUAAAGGGUGCGUAGGUGGCGCGUUAAGUCCGUUGUGAAAUCCCUUGGCUCAACCAAGGAACUGCUUCGGAUACUGGCGUGCUUGAGGCUAGUAGAGGUCACUGGAACUGACGGUGGAGCGGUGAAAUGCGUAGAUAUCGUCAGGAACGCCAAUGGUGAAGACAGGUGACUGGGCUAGUUCUGACACUGAGGCACGAAAGCGUGGGGAGCGAACGGG
rnacentral:rRNA from 1 species